GACGAACGCUGGCGGCGUGCUUAACACAUGCAAGUCGAACGGUGAAAGCGGAGCUUGCUCCGCUGGAUCAGUGGCGAACGGGUGAGUAACACGUGGGCAACCUGCCCCUCACUUCGGGAUAACUCCGGGAAACCGGGGCUAAUACCGGAUAUGACCUCCUUGGGCAUCCUUGGAGGUGGAAAGUUUUUCGGUGAGGGAUGGGCCCGCGGCCUAUCAGCUGUUUGGUGGGGUGAUGGCCUACCAAGGCGACGACGGGUAGCCGGCCUGAGAGGGUGACCGGCCACACUGGGACUGAGAUACGGCCCAGACUCCUACGGGAGGCAGCAGUGGGGAAUAUUGCACAAUGGGCGCAAGCCUGAUGCAGCGACGCCGCGUGAGGGAUGACGGCCUUCGGGUUGUAAACCUCUUUCAGCACCGACGAAGCGCAAGUGACGGUAGGUGCAGAAGAAGGACCGGCCAACUACGUGCCAGCAGCCGCCGUAA
rnacentral:rRNA from 1 species